rnacentral:rRNA from 1 species
AGUGAACGCUGGCGGUAGGCCUAACACAUGCAAGUCGAACGGCAGCACAGUAAGAGCUUGCUCUUACGGGUGGCGAGUGGCGGACGGGUGAGGAAUACAUCGGAAUCUACUUUUUCGUGGGGGAUAACGUAGGGAAACUUACGCUAAUACCGCAUACGACCUACGGGUGAAAGCAGGGGAUCUUCGGACCUUGCGCGAUUGAAUGAGCCGAUGUCGGAUUAGCUAGUUGGCGGGGCAAAGGCCCACCAAGGCGACGAUCCGUAGCUGGUCUGAGAGGAUGAUCAGCCACACUGGAGCUGAGACACGGUCCAGACUCCUACGGGAGGCAGCAGUGGGGAAUAUUGGACAUUGGGCGCAAGCCUGAUCCAGCCAUACCGCGUGGGUGAAGAAGGCCUUCGGGUUGUAAAGCCCUUUUGUUGGGAAAGAAAAGCGGCAGGUUAAUACCCCGCUGUUCUGACGGUACCCAAAGAAUAAGCACCGGCUAACUUCGUG